UUUCAUUAAAUAAUAAUAUUUUGGUAUUGCUUUGAAUUGGACAAACAAUAUAUUACCCUAAAUUUUUCUAACAAUCAUUUAGUCAAAACUUUUAUUUAUUAGACUCAUAUCUUUUUGUAAACGAAAAGAUUAUACCAUAUAUAUAUACGACCACAUAAAUUUGGUUCACGAAAAUAUAAUAUCACGUACACUUUAUUAUACUCUUCUCUAAAUAUGUCUCAUUAACUUCAUAAUUAAGAUAGGUUUAAAAAUUAUAUAUUAUGCUAAUUUUCUUUUAUUGAUAAAUAACAAUUUAGUAUUUAAGG
rnacentral:lncRNA from 1 species